AUACGGGGGGACCAAGCGUUGUCCGGAAUCAUUGGGCGUAAAAGGCGUGCAGGCGGACAGGUAAGUCGGGUUUGAAAACUUACGGCUUAACCGUAAAGGUGGAUUCGAAACUACCUGUCUUGAGUUCAGCAGGGGAAAGCGGAAUUCCUGGUGUAGCGGUGAAAUGCGUAGAUAUCAGGAGGAACACCGGCGGCGAAGGCGGCUUUCUGGGCUGAAACUGACGCUGAGACGCGAAAGCGUGGGGAGCGAACAGGAUUAGAUACCCUGGUAGUCCACGCUGUAAACGAUGAGCACUUGAUGUAGGAGGAAUCGACCCCUUCUGUGUCGAAGUUAACGCGAUAAGUGCUCCGCCUGGGGACUACGGUCGCAAGGCUGAA
rnacentral:rRNA from 1 species